UACGAAGGGGGCUAGCGUUGCUCGGAAUCACUGGGCGUAAAGGGUGCGUAGGCGGGUCUUUAAGUCAGGGGUGAAAUCCUGGAGCUCAACUCCAGAACUGCCUCUGAUACUGGCAAUCUUGAGUCCGGAAGAGGUGAGUGGAACUCCUAGUGUAGAGGUGGAAUUCGUAGAUAUUAGGAAGAACACCAGUGGCGAAGGCGGCUCACUGGUCCGGUACUGACGCUGAGGUGCGAAAGCGUGGGGAGCAAACAGG
rnacentral:rRNA from 1 species